GGAAUGCUGACCCUGUGCUAUAUGAUCACAUUUACUCUUUAAAGCAAUGCUUUGAGAACAAUUGAGCUGCAUAGUCCCUGCAAUCUUAUAAAGGCAUUUGGCCUGGAAGAUGCUCUGCAGCCAUGUGCCAAGAAUAACGGCUAUAGGGACAAUGUUUCAUUAACCCCAAAGCAGCAACCUGAACCUCUUACUGUACAAUAUCUGCUCCGUUCAGAAUUAGCUCGACUUGAGUCACAGGAUGAAGCUUACCAAAAGGAAUUUCCACGUCCAAGGAAGGAACCAAGAUCACUGAGAGGUUAUAGUAUGAAAAGUGAAGAGAAAAAACCUAUUCUAAACAUUUUAUUAAUUGUCAAUAAUUAUUUUAAAAUAUUUAAUAUAGUCUCCUACCUGGUCCACUGGCAUCAAGCUGCCAAAUUUACACGGUCACUUUGGGAAGCCAGCUGGCAGGCAAACAUGGAAAGUGCUGGCUCCUA
rnacentral:lncRNA from 1 species